UCCCUGGUGGCAGACAGUAAAGCGUCUGCCUGCAAUGCAGGAGACCUGGGUUCGAUCCCUGGGUUGGGAA
rnacentral:tRNA from 1 species